rnacentral:rRNA from 1 species
UACAGAGGGUGCAAGCGUUGUUCGGAAUUAUUGGGCGUAAAGGGAGUGUAGGUGGUCUUUUAAGUCUUCUGUGAAAUCUACGGGCUUAGCCUGUAACGUGCAGAGGAAACUGGAAGGCUUGAGUGUCGGAGAGGAUAGGGGAAUACCCAGUGUAGAGGUGAAAUUCGUAGAGAUUGGGUGGAACACCAGUGGCGAAGGCGCCUAUCUGGCUGACAACUGACGCUGAGACUCGAAAGCAUGGGGAGCAAACAGG